rnacentral:rRNA from 1 species
AGAUGCGAGAGUAGAGCAUAUCAAUAAGCGGAGGAAAAGAAACUAACUAGGAUUCCCUCAGUAACGGCGAGUGAAGCGGGAAGAGCUCAAAUUUGAAAUCUUCAAGGUUCUACCUUGACGAAUUGUAGUUUAAAGAAGUGUUUUCUGUUGGAGUUUUGGUAAAAGUUCUUUGGAAUAGGACAUCAUAGAGGGUGAGAAUCCCGUAUUUGACCAUUAUUUCCAACUUUGUGAUACACUUUCAAAGAGUCGGAUUGUUUGGGAAUGCAGUCCAAAAUGGGUGGUAAAUUUCAUCUAAAGCUAAAUACUGGCGAGAGACCGAUAGCGAACAAGUACCGUGAGGGAAAGAUGAAAAGAACUUUGAAAAGAGAGUUAAACAGUACGUGAAAUUGUCAAAAGGGAAGCGUUUGACACCAGUGUUGUUUUCUCGAAAAUCAAUCAAAAAUGGUGGGAUGUUGUGUUGUAUUGACUUUAUCAGCUUUCUGCACUUUUUUUCCUAUCUUUUUUAAUGCACUUUUCGUUUAACAAGUCAACAUCAAUUUCUUUUGUUGUAAAAGAGUCAUUGGAAGGUGGCUUUCUUUUCGGAGAAAGUGUUUAUAGCCUUUGGCUUCUGCAAUCGGAGAGAUUGAGGUCUGCAGCGUAGAUCCUUCGGGGUUAGAUGCAUUUGUGCUAAGUUAUAGCCUUUCAUAGACAACUUGUUGACUAUGAUCAGUCAUGUAGCUUACUCGCUUAUGUCAUUUUACCUACGCUUAGGAUGUUGACGAGACUGUCGAUCUC